GAAUUUAUGCUGUGAAUGAGGCUCAGAGAGGGCACAUGGCUCACAGCUGAGUGGAUGUGACUUAAGCCAAAAGCCUAGCAGUGGUCCCUGACUUCCCUUUAUCUCGUCCCUCUGCUGACUUGAGGGAGGAAAGCAGUGCUACAGAAGCAGAGAAGAGGGACGACCUCACAGAGGCCCACUGGCUGCUCACAACAGGUGCACGUGCAAGACGACUUCACGGAGACGUGGAGCAGGUCAGCAGCCAAAGUCCUCAGCCAGGAGGUAGCUCGGCUGCGUUUUCAACCCAGGUGUUCUGUGUCUGAGACUUUGUUCAUCCCUUCACCUGCUCUGGCCAGGAAGGGCUCCUUAUCGGACAGGGAGCAGGGGAGGGGAAAGGCUUCAAAAAGAGGCAUCCUUAGACGUUCUCAGCUCAGAGGCAGAGGCCCCAAGAAGCUCAGUUAUGAAGCGCCUCGCACCGACCCAGGGCUGUGGAAAGGGCUCCUGCUGCCUCCCCGGGUCGUUGAGAUGUGCAGCUGCUCUCACGGCUGCCGCCCAAUCCCCCGAGUGAUGCCGGCACAGGCAGAUAGCCUCCGACAUCUGCACUGUCCGGUGACAGACCCAGAGGCACAUGGCCUGUCCCGGUAGAGACACAGCACCAGUGGGGCCCGGGAAUCCACCUGCUGCCUAGGCUCCCUUCAGCUGAAAGCUGCACAGAAAAAUGGAAAGUGGGGGCACCUCGUGCUGGAGAAGUUGCCAGGAGGCCGUUGGGUCAGCAGGUCUGCACUGCUGCGCUCCGCCCCCACCUCCCGCCUCAAAGGAGCUGCUACCCGGAGCUACCUUCCUGGGAGAAGGAAUCAUCCACACACAAGAGGGAUGAGCCUUGAUUUCCAACUGACAGGACUUCAUCAGCUCACAGAAAACCACCCAACGGCUCCGGCAAUCUGUCUUGCCGGGAUAUUCCUGAUCUAUUACAAACGACACAGAAAUCCAUUCCUAAAAAUUCCCAGCAGCUGACGAUGGUGCCAAGGCUGCUGGGAGAAAAGUGGUGAGUGGGCGGUGUAGCUGUGGGCAGCUCCCGGCUGGACGCCCUGGGUCCUGUGCAGCUGACAAGCCUGUCCCUCAUGGGCUGUGUGCCUGGGGCAACUUGCCUUCCCUGAG
rnacentral:lncRNA from 1 species